GACGAACGCUGGCGGCGGGCUUAACACAUGCAAGUCGAACGGAAAGGCCCUGAUUUUGUGGGGUGCUCGAGUGGCGAACGGGUGAGUAACACGUGAGUAACCUGCCCUUGACUUUGGGGUAACUUCAGGAAACUGGGGCUAAUACAGGAUAGGAGCCCCUGCUGCAGGGAGGGGGUUGGAACGUUUCGGCGGUUGGGGAUGGACGGGCGGCUUAUCAGCUUGUUGGUGGGGGAGUGGCUUGCCCAGGAUGUGACGGAUAGCCGGCAUGGGAGGGUGACCGGCCACCAUGGUACUGAGAGAGGGCGCAGUCGCGUAUGGGAGGCAGCAGUGGGGAAUAUUGCACAACGGGCGGAAGUCGGAUGCGGCAACGCCGGGUGCGUGAAGCCGGCCUUCUGGUUGUAAACCGCUGUCGCCUGUGACGAAGCGGGUGUGACGGUAAUGGGUAAAGAAGCACCGGCUAACUACGUG
rnacentral:rRNA from 1 species